GACGAACGCUGGCGGCGUGCUUAACACAUGCAAGUCGAACGGAAAGGCCCUGCUUUUGUGGGGUGCUCGAGUGGCGAACGGGUGAGUAACACGUGAGUAACCUGCCCUUGACUUUGGGAUAACUUCAGGAAACUGGGGCUAAUACCGGAUAGGAGCUCCUGCUGCAUGGUGGGGGUUGGAAAGUUUCGGCGGUUGGGGAUGGACUCGCGGCUUAUCAGCUUGUUGGUGGGGUAGUGGCUUACCAAGGCUUUGACGGGUAGCCGGCCUGAGAGGGUGGGCGGCCACGAGGGGACUGAGAUGCGGCCGUGGCUCCUACGGGAGGACGCGGUGGGGAAUGGUGGGCAAUGGGGGCAACCCUGAUCCAGCAACUCUGUGGGGAAGAAGGGGGUUUUCGGAUUGUAAAGUGCUUUCAGCAGGGAAGAAGGAAGUGCCGGUACCUGCAGAAGAAGCGACGGCUAAAUACGUG
rnacentral:rRNA from 1 species